GAUGAACGCUAGCGGGAGGCCUAACACGUGCAAGCCGAGCGGUAGAGUCUCUUCGGAGACUUGAGAGCGGCGCACGGGUGCGGAACACGUGUGCAACCUGCCUUUAUCUGGGGGAUAGCCUUUCGAAAGGAAGAUUAAUACCCCAUAAUAUACUGGAUGGCAUCAUCUGGUAUUGAAAACUCCGGUGGAUAGAGAUGGGCACGCGCAAGAUUAGAUAGUUGGUGAGGUAACGGCUCACCAAGUCAGCGAUCUUUAGGGGGCCUGAGAGGGUGAUCCCCCACACUGGUACUGAGACACGGACCAGACUCCUACGGGAGGCAGCAGUGAGGAAUAUUGGACAAUGGGUGAGAGCCUGAUCCAGCCAUCCCGCGUGAAGGACGACGGCCCUAUGGGUUGUAAACUUCUUUUGUAUAGGGAUAAACCUAGAUACGUGUAUCUAGCUGAAGGUACUAUACGAAUAAGCACCGGCUAACUCCGUG
rnacentral:rRNA from 1 species